rnacentral:rRNA from 1 species
AAGACCUUGCGCUUUUGGAGCGGCCGAUGCCUGAUUAGCUUGUUGGUAAGGUAAAAGCUUACCAAGGCUUCGAUCAGUAGCUGGUCUGAGAGGACGACCAGCCACACUGGGACUGAGACACGGCCCAGACUCCUACGGGAGGCAGCAGUGGGGAAUUUUGGACAAUGGGGGCAACCCUGAUCCAGCCAUGCCGCGUGAGUGAAGAAGGCCUUCGGGUUGUAAAGCUCUUUCAGCCGGAACGAAACGGUUACGGUUAAUACCCGUGACUACUGACGGUACCGGAAGAAGAAGCACCGGCUAACUACGUGCCAGCAGCCGCGGUAAUACGUAGGGUGCGAGCGUUAAUCGGAAUUACUGGGCGUAAAGCGUGCGCAGGUGGUUUUGUAAGUCAGAUGUGAAAGCCCCGGGCUCAACCUGGGAACU